rnacentral:rRNA from 1 species
GACGAACGCUGGAGGCGUGCUUAACACAUGCAAGUCGAACGAUGAAAUGGAGCUUGCUCCAUGGAUUAGUGGCGAACGGGUGAGUAACACGUGAAUAACCUGCCCUUAAUUUUGGAAUAACCCAGGGAAACCUGGGCUAAUACCGGAUAAGUAAACCUGUGGCAUCACAUGGUUUUGGAAAGUUUUUCGAUUAAGGAUGGAUUCGCGGCCUAUCAGCUUGUUGGUGAGGUAAUGGCUCACCAAGGCGAUGACGGGUAGCCGGCCUGAGAGGGUGAACGGCCACACUGGGACUGAGACACGGCCCAGACUCCUACGGGAGGCAGCAGUGGGGAAUAUUGCGCAAUGGACGAAAGUCUGACGCAGCGACGCCUCGUGAGGGACGAAGGUCUUCGGAUUGUAAACCUCUUUCAGCAGGGACGAAGCGAAAGUGACGGUACCUGCAGAAGAAGCACCGGCUAACUAUGUGCCAGCAGCCGCGGUAA